UACGGGGGGGGCAAGCGUUGUUCGGAAUUACUGGGCGUAAAGGGCUCGUAGGCGGCCAACUAAGUCAGACGUGAAAUCCCUCGGCUUAACCGGGGAACUGCGUCUGAUACUGGAUGGCUUGAGGUUGGGAGAGGGAUGCGGAAUUCCAGGUGUAGCGGUGAAAUGCGUAGAUAUCUGGAGGAACACCGGUGGCGAAGGCGGCAUCCUGGACCGGCAUUGACGCUGAGGCGCGAAAGCUAGGGGAGCAAACGGG
rnacentral:rRNA from 1 species